rnacentral:lncRNA from 10 species
CCGCCAGCCGGGUCCACCGGCUCCCGGCGCCAGAGCGCAGGAAACACGACUUCCCACUCCUCGCGGUCGGGGGCGAACUGCAGCUCUGCGGGCGGGGCAGACAGAAGUGCGGGGCUUAAAGUGCCGCGGUUCCAGUAGCACAAACAUUUCCAAGCUCACAGUCCAUAGAUACAGGGCGCUCGCGUUGAAUGCAAUGGAGACCACCCGUCUAGACCCUGAAACUCUGCAACCCCAGAAGCCUUGCGAUCAGAUUACAGACCCCAGCAUUUUCAGAGUAAAAGUGCUGUAAACGUACCUUUGCAAAUAUUAUUGCUCUAAUUAGAAGGAAACUAUUCCACAUACGGUUAAAACGAGGCCGGCAGAAGUGUGCUUCAUUUCCGAACUUGACCCCUUAACCUGCACCUCAAGCUCAUUUUUAUUGCUACCCACUGAGCCCUGCUCUCCACGCACCGGUUGCACCAGCCCUGCCGACCCGUACGUUCGCGGUCUCCGCUGGGAUGGCUGGAAAGGAAGCGAGAAAGUCACGGAAGAACUUACCUGAAACGAUCCCAUUCGACAGGAACCCCAGCUGGUAAAGGAGGCAGCAGCAGCAGAUGAGUUUCCGAGGCCGAGCAGGCUAGUGCUGGAGCCCCACAAGACAGACCCACAGCCAGCCGAGAGCCGGGAGUGCUGCCUCUGGACAGGCAGAGGACUGCCCGGCGCGGGCAGGAGAGCUGUGGUGUCCGAGCCGAGGCUCGCCGCCUGCACCCGCGCGGAACGGGCGGAGGCUGGUGUCACAGUCUCAGCAACUUGGUGUGCCAAGCUCCGCACACUCCUCACGCUCCUUAGGACGCACCGCUGAAGGCUCUCACCCGCAGCGGCGCGGGAGGGAAUGAGUAGGGAGAUGGGAAGACACGACUAGAGAGGUGGGUUGUAGAGCAGAAAAGAAUCAAGCACAUCUGACCAGAAAAAGGGACCAAGGGGUGCCCGCCAAGCGUGACUUUGCGGGACAAAGGUCCCAGAACACCGUGCACGUGCUCAAACGCCGGUUGGGAUGGGGUGGGGACCCAAAAUCCCUCACCUGACUAUUGAUUGGCCACUCGGGAAGGCCUGAUUUGCAUCCAUCCCCUGCCCCCGUGUGCAGGUAGAGGUGCCUCCCCCUUCCCAUCCCACUCCUCAAUCCAGCGCCUCUUUUUGUCAAAUUCGCACAUCACACAAGGCAAAAAUUAGUGCAGACUUGACCACAAAACUGAGGCCUCAUUUAUCAAAGGCCUUUGAUUUGUCUUCCCAUCUUUUUCGGAAUUUUCUAAGCCCGGAGAUAAUGUAAUUCGUCAUGGAAUAUGCUUUAAAGUUUCCCAGGACAGUAGGCACCCUUAGGUUUCAGAGCCUCUUUUCCUUCCUUGUCUUUCUAGCUCCCCAUUCAUCAGUACUAUCAGUUUCUCUCCUUCCCCUACCCCACCCCAUUACACACACACACACACACACACACACACACACACACACACGAGUCCUAAAAGGAGUAAGAGUAAGGGAAUCAACAUUAAACAUUAUAUUCUAAAGAUCUCAGACCAGGUGAGAUUAUUUUGUCUUCUGUACUUUUUACUUGUACAUAAAAAAAUAUGUUUUUGCUGUUUCUGUCCUCUUUGGGGCAAUUCAACCCCAUAUAUUUUUUUUUCCUUUGUUGCAAUUCUCUUCAUGGUACCUACUCCCCUUUCCACAACUCUCCCUCAGCCACAUCAAAGCGUUCACAUCCGAUUUAAGGAUGAUUGAUCUGAACUGCCAUUUGCAUCCUCUGGACUAGGCCAGACACCUAGAAAUGAUAAUUAAUGCAAAUCAGUUUUUUUUUUUUUUAAUUCCAGAACUGAGGUUGGUUCACCACUUCCUUUGUUAUUUUACCUUCUGUUCCUUGUGUCAAAGGUGACUACUAUGCCUUUAAGGGAAGCAGACGAUCUUAUUUCAAAGGAAAGCCAUUGUUUGAAUUAGCUGAGUCCUAUAAUACUUUCUUUGAGUUGUCCAGAGUUUAGAAACAAAGGCAAAAACACUCAAGGUGACUUUGUCAAGAGUGAUCUGCCUCUAAACGCUGUCUUAUAAAAUCUCUAAUGCUGGAGUAACUAACAUGUGGGUUUCCAGAUGCUCAAGAAAUAUCUGGGUUACUUAGAAACCUAAAUGCUUUUUUUCAUGAGACUCAAUUUUACAGAUUUAAAGCUAGGCAAAAAAUCAGAGGCAGUUUAUUUUUUGAGUAUAGCAAGCUAUUUAGAUUGAAAGCUAAUUUCAAUGAAACACCUCCAGUAGGAGAUGAGUCUUAACACGUUUCUCACACAUAUUUUAACAACAACAACAAAAAGCAGAACUGAAGGAAUAAUGCAUAUUAAAUUGUAUAUAUUUAUUAGAGUACAUUCAUGAUUUUUUAAAACCAAAUGAGUUGUAUAACUAAGUUAAAUAUACUCAGAAGCACAGCUUACCAAUGUAAGUUUGCAUUGCUGCCUUUUUUUCCCACUAAUAUAUAAUCUUUACCAAUCCUUCAUGGUAAAGGUUAAUAUUGUUAUGGAAAGAUUUGUCUAAUUCCCAGAUAACUCUUCUCUUUUUUCCCUUUUGAAAUACUGUUAUAAUUUAUUUACAUAUUUUAGAGACAUUUAUAAGUCAUUUGGGUUUUAAUGACUUAUGUACUUAUUUCUCCUACUAGACUAUCAAUGUUUUUGAAAGGUAGGAAUGAUUUCUUUUAUAUAUCACCCUGACUAAUUCAAGGAUUUACACUGAAUAGGUUCAGAAAUUAUCAGGAAAUUCUCUCCAAGGUGCUUUAGAAAGUGAUAGAAAUUGAUUUGUCUAUGGUAUUUUGUUCCAAUUUGAAUUCCUUGAUCAGGAGUUGCAACACUAACUCUGCUGGUGAUUAGCAACUAUCAACAUGACUUAUCUGGUUUACAGAAGGAACAGGCCUAAGAGAGAAAUGUGUGGGGAAUUUUUGUGCUCUAGGAGAGACUUAGAUAUGCAAGUGAGAGCGUCCGUUAAAGUGAAUUCAAGUACCUAUGUAUAUAAAAGAAAGAACUAGCCUAAUUUGGAAUUGAGUAAACUGUGUGUGGUGAAAUAGAGAAGAAAAGGCAGGACUGAGGCAUGUGUGUGCAUUACCAACCUUAGAGGAAAGAAAAGAGCAGCUGGGAAAAAUAUGUUGGUAAGACAGAUCACUAUAUAUGUCACCAGAUGGUAGCUAGCACCAAUAGAGCACUGCUUUUGUGUUCUCAGAAUAAGGACAGAAGGAGAAGAGGUAAAUGACAAAGCAUCAGAGUAAGUGGAAUCAACUGUUUUGGUGCUGAUAUUGCCAUUUAUAAUCCAGGCUUCUCCAUAUAGAAAGUUGGCCUUGAUGCUGUCAAAUCUCCCUUAUUCUCUUCACUCACUGGUACUAAGCCCCUCACAACCUAAUCUUACCCUAGGUUAAAAUUAACCUAAGCUAAUCUUAAAUCCACCCGCCCUCCCCCAACCAAAUUCUUAAAAUCUUGAGAAAAUACAAAGAACCCUUUCACUGAGUUCCAUGAAGAUACCAACUCCCAGUAGAACUCACAUCUAAAUUGACAUCAAGUCCUAAGCUAGUUCUGGCCAUAAUGGAAUUACAGGGACCAUAGUUAACUCUCACCUUAGGAAAUUAGAAAACAUAAUAAAAGUUUUUAGACAUUGGACAACAGGCAGCCUAGGGUUAUGACUUAGGAGAGAAGAGAAGUAAAUGAAUUGAUCACUACAAUUUCCCCAGCUUACAACCUGGAGGCAGUUUCAGGACUUAACACAGAGAGAAGAAAGCCAAACAGAGCCCUGAAGACAAGCUGAGUUGAGGAGGCAGAGAAGGAGGCUAGAAUUUAUAGGGCAGAGUAUCAGAAAGGAGGGAACUACACAGAGAGUGAAUCAGUUAUCUAUUGCUACAUAACAACCUUAGCAGUUUAAAACAACAAACAAUUUAUCAUCUGACAUAGUUUCUGAGAGUCAGGAAUCGAAGCCUGGAUAAGCCCAGGUAUUUCUGAUUAAGGCUGUCUCUCAAGUUUGCAGUCAAACUCUUGGCCAGAGCUAUAAUUUCAGCAGACUUAACUGGAAGAAGAGGUUCUGCUUUCAAACUCACUUGGUUAUUGACAGGAAGCUCAGCAUCUUGCUACACAGGUUUUCCCAUAGGGGCUGCUCAUUACAUGCAUUCCCCCAGAACAAGUGAUCUGAGAGAGAGAGCACCCAAAAUAUAGCCAUGGUCUUUUUAAACCUAAUCUUGAAAGUGACAUACCACCACUUCUAUCAUAUUCUCAUCAUAAAAAACAAGUCACUAAGUCCAGCCAACAUUCAAAUGGGGAAAUAUCAAAGAAUUUGUGGACAUAUUUUUAAAACCAUCAUUGUCUGCCUUGACCAUAAAUUACUAGAGAACUUCAAAAAGUAUGUGGAAAAUGGAAGUAAAAGGCAAAAAUAAAAAAAAUAUAAACUUUAUUUCUCAACAUAAGCUCCAUCAAGUUCAAGACACUUUUGUAAGCCAUGAUACUAGCCUCUUACCCCAUCCCUGAAGAACUGAAAGCUGUGGGGUAUUUACCCAUGUCAAUGCAGUCUUUUUUACAUUAUUAACUGAAGGAAAUUGAAUGCCUUUUGAAGAUUAAGGUUAGAAAAUAAAGUCAGAAGAAGCCAAAUCAGGACUUGUAAGGUGGAUACCUAAUGAUUUCUCAUCAAAACUCUCACAAAAUUGCCCUUGUUUGAUGAGAGGACUGAGCAGGAGCAUUGUCAUUUGGAGAAGGACUCUGGUGAAGCUUUCCCAGAGAUUUUCUGCUAAAGCUUUAGCUAGCUUUCUCAAAGUACCCUUAUAAUAAGCAGAUGUUAUUAUUCUUUGGCCCUCCAGAAAGUCAACAAGCAAAAUUCCUUGAGCAUCUCAAAAACUGUUGCCAUGACCUUUGCUCUUAAUUGGUCUGCUUUUGCUUUGAAUGGACCACUUCCCCCUCUUGGUAGCCAUUGCUUUGAUUGUGCUUUGUCUUCAGGAUUUUACUGGGGAAGCCACAUUCCAUUUCCUUUUGCAAUUCAUCAAAGAAAUGCUUCAGUGUUUUGGUACCACUGAUUUAAAAUUUCCAUUGAAAGCCCUGCUAUUGUUUGUAGCUGAGCUGGGUGCAAUGGUUUUGGCAGCCAUCAGGUGGAAAGUUUGAUCAAUUUUAAUUUGUUUGGUCAGGAUAAUGUAAAUUGAACCAAUUGAGAUGUCUCUAAUAUUCGCUAUGACAAAGAGAGGAAGGGAGAAUUCUGGAUGUUUUCUGGAAGAACUUUGAAUUAAUUGUCUAUGUUCUGAUUUCUACAUGUAUGUGAAGAAACCACCUACAGCAUAGGGUGAGUGGUGGGACGGGGAGGCAUAAAGCGUUAAAGGCCAAAGAAUACUCCAAAUGUGAUGAGUUCCAACUGGCUAGAGUGGAAGGUCAUCAUAAUACAAGGGGUACUAGAUAAUGUUCUUAGAAAAGCAUCUGCUUAGUAAUAAAAUUAAAUUAGCCUUGUAAUUAAGGUUUCAUGUGGGCCUAUCUCAACAAGGCUUAAAAGAUAGCUGCAAAAUGGUUCAUCUGUUUCCUAGUAAUUUAAUUUCCUGCUAGAACAAGGUCCAUUUUACUUAAUAAUUAUUAUUAUAUAUAUAGAUAUAUACUUUUUCAUUUAGACAGGGUCUCACUUCAUUGCCCAGGCUGGAGUGCAGUGGCUCAAUCAUGGCUCACUGCAAUCUUGACCUCCUGGGCUUAAGCAGUCCCUUCACCUCAGCAUCCUGAGUAGCUGGGACUACAGGCAUACACCACCAUGCCUGAUUAAUUUUUGUAUUUUUGGUAGAGAUGGAGUUUUGCCAUGUUGCCCAGGUCGGUCUCAAACUCCUGGACUCAAGCAAUCCACCUGUCUCAGCCUCCCAAAGGGCUAGGGUACAGGCAUGCGACACCGCACUUGGCUAGGAAUAAUAAUAUUUUAAAACAACAACAACAACAAUGUAAAGUUUUCAUUCUCUGGAAAUCCAAUUAUAAAUUCCAAGCAUGGGAAAAAAAUGACUCAUAACAAGGAGAAAAGUCACUUAGUAAAAACAGAUCCAGACAUGACAGAAGUAAUAAAAUAAGCCAACAAAAACAUUAAACAGCUAUUACAGAUAUGCUGUAAAUGUAUAUGAAGAUAGAGGAAAGCAUGAACCUGAUCAAGAGUGACAUAAAAAGACCCAAUUUGAAAUUAUAGAGAUGGAAAAUACAAUAUUUUACAUGAAAAAUGUACUGGGUGGUAUUGACAGCAGAUUAGAUACUGCCAAAAAAAGUAUCUGUGAACUUGAAGACAUAGCAAAAGAAACUAACUAUCCAAAGUGAAGCACAGAAAGAAAAAGAUAAGAGUUGACUUGAGUGUUGGUGAACUGUGGGAUAAUAACGAGAUAUCUAAUAUAUAAGUACUUGGAGUUUUAGAAGAAGAGGAGAAAUGGAAAUGGGAAGAGAAACUAUUUGAAAAAAUAAUGGCUGAAAAUUUUCCAAAUUUGAUGAAAACUAUAAUGUAUACAUGCAAGCAUAACAUACUUAAUAAAACUUUGCCAAGGCAUAUCUUAAGCAAAUUGCUAAAAACAGAAAGGAAAUAGAAAAUGUGAAAAGCAGCCAGAGGAAAAAGACAGAUUAUCUAUAGAAACAAAGUUAAGAAUGACAGCAAACUUCUCCUCAAAACUUAUGCAAACAAGAAGACAUAUACAGUCAUGUACCUCAUAUAAGCAUAUUUUAGUCAACAGCAGAACACAUAUAUGACAGUGGUCCCAUAAUAUUAUAUCAUAUUUUUAAUUCACCUUUCUCUGUAGGUAUGUUUAGAUAAACAAAUACUUAGGAUUAUUUUACAAUUGCCUACAGCGUUUAGUAUAGUAAUAUGCUGUACAGGUUUAUAGCAAAGGAGAUAUAGGCUAUACCAUACAGCCUAAGUGUGUCAUAGAAUACAUCAUGUAGGUUUGUAUAAGAACACUCUAUGAUGUUUAAACAGCAAUUAAAUUACCUAAUGAUGCAUUUCUCAAAAUGUAUCCUCUGCUGGGUGCCAUGACUCAUCCCUGUAAUCCCAGCAAUUUGAGAGGCCAAGAUGGGUGGAUCACCUGAGGUCAGGAGUUCAAGACCAGCCUGGCCAACAUGGUGAAACCACGUCUCUACUAAAAAUAUAAAAAAUUAGCCAGACAUGGUGGCGGGUGCCUGUAAUUCCAGCUACUUGGGAGGUGGAGGCAGGAGAAUCGCUUGAACCUAGGAGGCAGAGCUUUCGGUGAGCUGACAUCACGCCAUUGCACUCCAGCCUGGACAACAAGAGCCAAACUUCAUUUCAAAAAAUAAAUAAAUAAAAAUGUAAUUUUUCAUCAAUAAGUGUUGCAUGACUGUAUGUAGAUAUUCUCAAUAAAAUCCUUUAACAGAUACAUAGUUUGUAAAUAUUUUGUCCUAGUUUGUAGCUUGCCCUUUAUUUACUAAAUGAUAUCUUAAAGAGCAAAAGUUUUUAAUUUUGAUGAAGUCCAAUUUAUUAAUUUGUCCUUUAUAGAAUGUCUUUCUGGUUUUCUAAGAAGUGUUUCCUAAGCCAAGAUCAAAUCCUUUUCUCCUACUUUUUUUCUAGAUCUAAAAUUUUUACUCUUAAUUUUAGGACUAUUAUCCAUUUUGACCUAAUUUUGAUAAAUGAGGUAGGAUAAGCAUCAAGGUUCAUAUUUUUGUAUAUAGAUAGCCAACAUUAUUAGUAACUAGGACAAUGCACGUUAAGUGCAAAUUGAACCCACAAGGAGACAACACUACACACCUAUUAGAGUGAAUAAAAAUUAUCUACAUUACCAAAUGUUUGCAAGGGUGUGGAACACCUGAAACUCUCAUGCAUUGUUCAUGUGAAAGCAUUAGCAUAGACACUUUGGAAAACAGUUUGACAGAUUCUUAUGAUUCUUAAAUAUACAUUUACCCAACAACUCACCAACACAAUUCCUAGAUAUUUACCCAAGAAAAAUUAAUGUAGGUAUACACAAGACUUUCAUGUGAAUUUUAUGUCAGCUUUAUUUAUAAUGGCCCCAAACUAAAAACCUAUAUGUCAAUCAACUGAUGAAUAGAUAGACAAAUUGUAGUAGAUUGCAGAACAUAAGUCAGCAAUGAAAAGAAAAGAACCAUUGAUGCAUGCAAAAAUGGAUGAAUUGCAAAAGCAUUAUUCUAAGUGAAAGAAGCUUCCCUUUAUAUGAAAGUGGAGAAAAGAUAAUACUGAAGUAAUUAAAGCAGUUCAGUCCCAGGAGCUAGGGAUGGUCUUGGGGGCAAAGAGGGAAAAGGGCUAUGAGGGAACUAUUUUAGGUGAUAAAAAUCUUCUUUAUCACAAUUAAGGUACUCAUUACACAACUGUAUAUAUUUUUCACAAAUCAUUCAAAUAGUACACUUCACAAUGGUUAAAUGUUUUGUAUAUAAAUUAUAUCUCGAUGACUCUAUUUACAGAAAGACUUAAGCUAAAUAUGUGACACUCUCAGUGUUUCAUUUUUAGCCAUUAGUGACUAAAUGUUAAGGGAAUAGGGACCUUCCUCAAGAUUCCACAGGUAAGUGAGAGUCACUAUCAUCCACCCAAAUGCUCGAACCAUGAACCUAAGAAGCCGUCCUUGACUCAUGCUUUUUUUUUUUUUUUUUUUUUUUUUGAGACGGAGUCUCACUCUGUUGCUUAGGCUGGAGUACAGUGGCGCAAUCUUGGCUCACUGCAACCUCCACCUCCUGGGUUCAAGCAAUUCUCUGCCUCAGCCUCCUGCGUAGCUGGGAUUACAGGUGCCCACCACCACACCAGGCUAAUUUUUGUAUUUUUAGUAAAGAUGGGGUUUCACCAUCUUGGCCGGGCUUGUCUUAAACUCCUGACCUCAGGUGAUCCACCUGCUUUGGCCUCCCAAAGUGCUGGGAUUACAGGCGUGAGCCACUGCACCCGGCCAACUCAUGCAUCUUUUUAUCACUCACAUCCAACCAGUCAAGUCAUGGGUUUUUUUUUUUUUUUUUUUUUUUUAAGUUCUGGGAUUCAUGUGUGGAAUGUGUAGGUUUGUUACUUAGGUUUACGUGUGCCAUUGUGGUUUGCUGCACCUAUCAACCCAUCAUCUAGGGUUUAAGCUCCGCAUGCAUUAGAUAUUUUUCCUAAUGCUCUCCCCUUGCCCCCCAACCCACAACUGGCCCGAUGUGAAUUGUUCCCCUCCCUGUGUCCGUGUGUUCUCUUUUUCUUUUCUUUAGCUCCUAAAUUCCUCACCUCUCUCUAGUGCUUCUAGCACUAAGCUGAUGCAGUCAUCUUUCCGUGGUACCACUGCAACACUUUGUUAACCUUUCUCCUGCUUCCACUUUGCUCUACCACAUUCCAAUCUUUACUCUGUGGCCACAGUGAUCAUUUAAAAUGAAAAUAAUAUCCUCUGAUUAAAAUCCUCCAGUCAUUCUCUAGUUACUCUCAGGACAAAAUUCAAACUCCUUAACAAAAUCUAAAGGCCCUGCGUGAUCCCAGUCCUUUCGUAUUUUCAGUCCCAUCACAUUCUAUUCUUCCCUUUUGGAUUUUUCUAAAUUCUUAUAGCAUACUAUAGUUUUUCCUGUCUCUGUGUAUACAUUACCAUUUCCUCUAAUGGAAACAUGUCCCUUCUCAUCCUGUAGAUUAACAAUGACAACUCCUCCUUAUUCUUCACAUACCUUUCUUCUUCGCAAGCAUCAGAAGUACCAAGUUAGGUCUCAUUGCUGCUUUAUGUCAUUAUAGCACGUGGUGUUUCUAUUCAGUCUUCACUGAUAUAGCAUCUAUUUAUAUUAGGCUGGUGCAAAUGGCACCAAAUGGCAAAAACUGCAAUUACAUUUGCACCAACCUAAUAAUUGUCAUUUCAAUAUAUGACUUUGUCCUACCCCCUCACCAUCCCAAAAUUCUGCUCCCUAGAUGCAAUCACUGUUUUGUGCCUUCCAGACUAUUAUGAAAGAAAAAUGUAUUGACGAGUGUCAGCAUAAUAAUAUAUGACACACAAAAUUAAAAGAUAGAAAUAUAUAUAGGCUUCCCUCUCUUUUGCCUUCUAAUGGACAUGUUAAAUCCCCCCUGCUCAGCACCUGGGCCAAGUAAUGGGUGAAAAGAAUGAAAGCUGGUCUUUCAAAUCCUAUUAGUAUGAAGAGCAAUAUUUUUAAAUGAAAAUAAAAAAACUGGGAAGGAAGGAAAAAGAACAAGAAAGAAAAUAGUCUGUGAAAACUGAGUUUUGAGAGUUUUAUUGAAAUUUUCGAGAAAGUAAUACAAAAUGUUGUAGGGGCAACCUCUAUGCAGUGAUAAAAGGGCUUUGGAAAAAGUGAUAAAUAAAAGAGAUUAUUACAAAGUUUUGUUAUGAGUUAUGCAUAUAUGCAUUUAAGGCAUAUGAAAUUUAUUUCUAUUCUUAUUGGGACAGGAGGAGGCAUGUGGGACUUGUGUUUUAUUUCUGAGCGUAGCACAUGGCUGUCUCAGGUUUGUUUGGGUUACAUAUAAAACUCAAUAUAGGAAUUUGUUCUGCCUAAAUAGGUAUUUAAGAUCCUCUCAAUAGUAAAAGAGGUCAAGAUUAAAAAUCUAAAAAUGAGAAUCCCCAACCUUCAAAACAAUAAAGUAUGUUAUUCUCAAAGCAGUAAAGUAUGUUAUAAUAAAGUUCUCUGGCUUUAUGAAAAUAUAAGGCCAUAUUUUAGGCCUUUCCACAUACCACUUAGAUCUUAUAUACAGGAAUUUCAUUGCUACUGAAAGUUUCACUCAUAAUUUACACAGAACCGUUGAGACUCCAAUUCCAAGAUUAAGAAAUACUGAUCCAGGGCCAAGAGCUCCCUGCUUGGACUUUUCCAUUGCAUUCCUUUGAGCUGCAUCCCACUGAGUACCAAUGAUCAUCACUAUAAUGAUCAUUACCUGAAGACUUAAAAUCACUGUGUCUGACACAAAUCUUAAGCUUCUUGCAUUAUACAAUGUGAUACCUUUCUCCCAGUUAGCAAGAUGCUUAAUUCCAACACUAUUUGUAGUGUCAAGUCUUAGAAGGAAUGCCCUCAUUUGCUAAAUAAUCAAUAAAUGUUUAUUGGAUAAUUGAAUGACUGAAACUAAAGACAAUGCCAUCCAUAUCCAUGUCACUGUUUUCCCAGAGGUAAGAGGUUGACUCACAUGAGACUGAUAUAGGCCUUUUUUGUUUACAGUUCUAUGAUUAUUUCAGGUAUUCAAAAUGUGUAUGUGUGUGUGUAAGAGACAGAGAAAGAAACAGAGACAGAGAGAGACAGAAGGGUGAGUAAAAAUGGUUAUCAGAAUUAUUCUUAGACAAAAAGGGGUCCAUUGGCAAAGAAAAAAAGUUUGAACAGUACUCCCUUUAUUUGUUGACUAGAGAUGGGAAGGUAACCAUUAGCAUGAAAUGAAAAUAGAAUUUAAAGUCGAUAGGAUAUUGUGACAUUUGAUUUGUUAAGGUUUUGGCUGACCACUAUUUGACCUCUUUUCUCAUUAUGUGAAUCCCACAGAUGAGAAUUAUGGGAAUCCCCUUCCCAUGUUAUGUAUUAUAGGAAUCCCACAGGUAAGAAUUGUGCUGGUUUGGGGUGGUAAAUGGGGAUUGAUUUCCACUAGAGUAUUAUAAUAGUCUAGGUUUUCAUUCUCAUUAUCUACUGGGGUACAGGUUUAUGACCUCAGCUAAUAGAAUGUCCAUAGGUGGCAAAUCUGAAACAAGUAACACAAAGGUAAGAGCACUUUAGAUUUCCUCUCAACAGAAUUGUCCAGGGAUUGUGGUGGUGAUGGUGCCAGUAGUUUGUUUAGUAUCCUGAGACAAUGCACCAGCAUCUUCACCAGCUGUUCCAGCGGCAGGGGCUUGGCUAUAAUGACAGCUUCCUGUGGUUUCUCCUUGUUUCACAGCUUGGUUUUUUUUAGCCUUCCAUCAAUUCUUUAAUCUACACAAUGACGUCAUUCCAUUAAACUGUUUUUUGCCAAGGUGAGCCGGAAUCCAGUUCUGUUGCUACAAGUAAGAACCAUGACUUAGACAAGUUAGUAUCGGGGAGCAGGUUGCAGUCAAAGGGACCACAGAAAAAUCCAGGGAGUUGUAUGUAGUUAGAGUUGGAGGCCAAGAAUAUUGUUUAUAUUUAUUACUGAGAAUCUGUCAGUCCAUGACACAUCAUGACAAAGAUUUUCUUUAAAUUAUUGUCUGCGAUCUCCUGGAAUUAAAUAAUGCACUGAAAGCAGAAUUAUCUGCAACCAUAUAUUUGCCAUAUAGAAUAUAAGAAUUUUGGGGUCGGGUAUCUACUUCUAAUGGCCUUACAAAAGGCCAAUGAGAGGCCCAAAUUUCAAAGUUAUCAGCUUAAAGCGCGUGCUGAAACUCACGGGCUUUCUAUGAGUGGACUAAAUAAUCUCUAACUUCCAUUCAGUUCAGAACUUCCUUGGUGUAUUGGUGAAGAAAAAAAUCAAAGGCCAGGAGAUUGCGAUGCUAGAGAGCAUUGAUCAUAUGAAAUUUAUGACUCUCAAGAAGGUCUAGAAACUACUCCUUUCUCCAAGGCCUUGAGAAAUGACAGGAGUUGAUGAGAGGCUUAUCAGCAUAUUUAAAAAUACACUAGUGGCUCCUCUUUGAGGCUGCCAGUGCUGAUAUGGGAUGCAGUUGAAAUGGUCUCCCUGACUCCAAUGUGGCAAUUAAAAUCCUGGGUGACAUAGCGGCACUUAAUCUCAGAGGCAAAGUAGAUUUGUUACUGGCAAGAUAAUCCAAAUGGCCUGACCCACAGAGAUUUGGGUGGUUGCUAAUAUAUCAUAGGCUUGUUAGAGGCAAAAUGAACAGGCAGCUUCCUAGAGCCACCUAUUUUUUCUGGGUUAAAAAAACAUAAAAACAAAACAGAACAAGAAAACAAAAAUAUCCUCUAGGUCUGACCACCCAUUAUAAGAGAAGAUAAUCGUUUUAUUACUGAAUUCUCAAGCCUGGCUCAGUCAGAUAGUCCACAGGCCCUUGAAUGAAGGAAAACCUGGACGGCCCUGAGAAGACCUGAUGAUAAUAUUUUGCUGAAUGCGUACUAUGAAUAGAAAUACUAUGGAAUUGGAAGAUCAGGAGUUUUCCUGACAUAUAAGGUAAGAACUAUUGUGAUCAGACACCAAAUGUAAACCAUUAGAACUCCUUCUCCAAACCAAAAUAAUAAAUCAAAGCAACCCUGAAUUACUGAGGAAACCGCAGUGAUUAGUGCCUCUGUAAAAGGCUUCAAAGAUGCAAGAGUGUUGCCUUUUUUUUUCCACAUUCCUACUUAACUCACCUGUGCAGAUGACAGAUGGCCCUGGAGAAUAAUAAUGGAAUGUUGUAAAUGUAAUCAAAGUUAAUUGCUAUUCUAGAUGUGAUUUUUUUUUUUACUUGGGCAAACAAGUAUAGCCUCCAAUAAUUAAUACGCAGCUAUGGAUUUGGGAAUUUUUUCUCUUAAACUCUAAAAAUCUACAGCAAUAGAAACAAUUCUGUUUAUGGAUUUCUCUGAAAUUUGCUGUCUUCAACAAACCACUAGUGCGUUGUUGCAAUGCUACAGCCGUGUCCAGGAUAGUCCUGAAGAUCCCCCACGGAAUAUCAAAUCUACACCUUUUUUGUCCACCUGGCUGGAAAGAGGGUUGGUAUGAAAUAAGUUUCUAUACUGAUUAAUGAACAGCGGUUUAUGGUUUCCCAAGGUUGUAAGAAAUUAAGAAGGAACCCAAUCAAAGGAUGCUGAGAAAGAAACCCACAUAAGCAUUAUGCACCUGAACUUUGAAGUGGCCCUAGAGUAGAAGACAUUUGUGCCCCAUAUGCAUACUCCUUAAAAGUCCACUCAAUAAGUGGACUAAAUAAUCUCUAACUUCCAUUCAUUCUAACUUCCCUCUGUUAAAGAGGUGCUCAUUCUUAGGUUACAGAGGACAGUACUCUUUGAGGACAUCUGCCAGCCUCUUUCUUCACUUAUUUGUCUUUGAUCAAUGAGAGUGCGAGCAAAUAUCAUGGGUGACAAUGUAUGGAAGCUAUUCGUAAACUCUCAAAUGUCAGCUUUCCUUACUAAAGUUUACACAGUCUCUAUUAUGGUGGAUUCCCUAAUAUGCAAGUGACACAAAUGUUACAUUAUCAGGGAAUAUUUGAAUAAUCUUUGGUUGGGAAAGCCUUCUGAAAUAAUAUAGAAAAACUAAAAGUCAUUAAAAAAUAUACUUCAUUUUAAAAAUGUGUGUAUUAUAACAUAUCACACUUGAAAAGUAAGAAAAACACAUAAAACAAAGUAUUAAUAUCUUUAAUGUAAAAAGAGCUCUUAUAAAUUAGUUUUGAAAGAGCAGUAGUCAAAAAGGAAAGUGGGUAAAGGAUAGAAUAAGCCAUUGAGGGAACAGGAAAUGCAUACAUGAAAUAAUCACAUGAAAAGUUUCCCAACUUCACCAUGGAGAAUAAUAUGGAUUAUAGCCAAAACAUCUUGAUUUGAUUUUUUUUUCACCCAUUGAAAUAAAAUGAAUACAGGAGUCAGUGGAAAUGAGGAUGUGAGAGGUGGGAGUAGUCAUACCUUGCUUCUGCAAGUGCGUGCUGAACCCCCUUGGGAAACGGAACUGGCCAUCUUUAAAAAAAUUAAAUGACACAUGCUGCUGAUUCAGAAGUAUUACCUGAAGAAACCCAUCUUAGAGAUACAUAAGUCAGGGCACAUAGGGAUAUUGUACAAGGAUGUUUAUUGCUCAUUGUUCAUAGUGGCAUGAAACUAGAGGAAAACCACAAUAUUUGUCAGUAGGUGAAUGAAUAAUUUAUGGCUCACCUUAUUAUGAAAAAUUCUCGAUUACUUUUUAAUAAUGGACAUUUUCUACUGAUAUGGAAAGGAGUAUAAAUUAUAUCACAAUAUUUUAAUGAAUUCACAAUGCAGUACACAUAGUAUUUCCUUUGAGAUGUGUGUGUAUAUGCUUGUAUGAGUAUGUAGAAAGGAAUUGGGGAAUAGACAACAAACUGUUGAAACACCUGAAAAGAUGGGAAUGUAUGUUGGGCAUCAAAGGGAGCUUGAGGGAGAGGAAAGCUUUUUAAAUAAUAUUUUCUAUCGUGUCAUUUAAUUCUCUAUAACUUAAAAAAAUCUAAAGAAUUUUUAAAGGAUAAAAUCACAAAAGUGCUCAAUGCAUCUCUGUUUUUCUUUACUUUUACAUAAUCGACUCAUUAAUGUUUAUUGAGUGAAAGUGCAAAGAGAAACUCAGUCAUUCUAGAACAAUUUCCUUGUAAGAGAAGACUUUAAAUAAUACCACAAAUUGUUCAGGAAAAGCUCUUAUUUUUUUCUACUAUGAUUUGGCUGUUAAUUAUUUGGGCAUGUGUUUUAAACCUAUGACUGAUGAUGCCCUUGAGGAUUUUUUUUCAGCUUGGGAGACAUUUGUUUUAAAUUUUUACAAUUUAACAAAAAUAUACUUGAUCCAUAGAAGAAACUACCCUGGCUGGAAUACCUCUUACUACAUUAAGGUCACAUAUGACUAUUUAAAUUAGAACCAGAAACGUGUGCUUUCCUAUUUCUGGAAAGCCUUUCAAAUGUUAUCUCAGGAUAAAUAAGCUCAUAAAAAUUGAAGAUAGAUUAUAAGCUGGAUUUUCAUCCUAGAAGCAUACUUAUAUGUGCUAGAUCUUGGUUUUUGUUUAAAUGGCUUUGUGAUGGUAUAGUUCUCUUCUAUGAAGGUAACAAUGUAUUUCUGUUUAUCUAAACAGUAAUUAACAUCAAACUCAUGAUUUCCAAAUGUUCAAUGUCUAAUUCUACUCUAUAUUUAUGUGCUUAAAUAAAAGAUUUGUUUAAAAUUAUAAAUA